GGAUGCGAUCAUACCAGCACUAAAGCACCGGAUCCUAUCAGAACUCCGAAGUUAAGCGUGCUUGGGCGAAAGUAGUACUAGGAUGGGUGACCUCCUGGGAAGUCCUCGUGUUGCAUUCC
rnacentral:rRNA from 1 species